CCUACGGGGGGCAGCAGUAGGGAAUUUUCGUCAAUGGGCGCAAGCCUGAACGAGCAAUGCCGCGUGAACGAGGAAGGUCUUCGGAUCGUAAAGUUCUGUUGAAGGGGAAAAAGAGCGGAGAGAGGAAAUGCUUUCUGAUUGAUAUUACCCUUCGAGGAAGUCACGGCUAACUACGUGCCAGCAGCCGCGGUAAUACGUAGGUGGCGAGCGUUAUCCGGAAUGAUUGGGCGUAAAGGGUGCGUAGGCGGCCUGCUAAGUCUGGAGUGAAAGGUACCGGCUCAACCGGUACAGGCUCUGGAAACUGGCGGGCUAGAGAGCAGGAGAGGGCGGUGGAACUCCAUGUGUAGCGGUGAAAUGCUUAGAUAUCACGAAGAACUCCGAUUGCGAAGGCAGCCUACUAAACUGCCACUGACAUUGAUGCUCGAAAGUGUGGGUAUCAAACAGGAUUAGAUACCCGUGUAGUC
rnacentral:rRNA from 1 species